AUUGAACGCUGGCGGCAGGCCUAACACAUGCAAGUCGAGCGGAGCGGCGGUCGGGUGAGUGAUGCCUAGGACUCUGACUGUUAGUGGGGGAUAGCGUCCGGAAACGGGCGCUAAUACCGCAUACUAUCAGAUGAGCCUAGGUGGGAUUAGCUAGUUGGUGGGGUAAGGGCCUACCAAGGCGACGAUCCGUAACUGUUCUGAGAGGAUGAUCAGCCACACUGGAACUGAGACACGGUCCAGACUCCUACGGGAGGCAGCAGUGGGGAAUAUUGGACAAUGGGCGAAAGCCUGAUGCAGCCAUGCCGCGUGUGUGAAGAAGGUCUUCGGAUUGUAAAGCACUUUAAGUUGGGAGGCGUUACCCACAGAAUAAGCACCGGCUAACUUCGUGCCAGCAGCCGCGGUAAUAC
rnacentral:rRNA from 1 species